ACACUAUCAUUAACUGAAUCCAUAGGUUAAUGAGGCGAACCGGGGGAACUGAAACAUCUAAGUACCCCGAGGAAAAGAAAUCAACCGAGAUUCCCCCAGUAGCGGCGAGCGAACGGGGAGCAGCCCAGAGCCUGAAUCAGUGUGUGUGUUAGUGGAAGCGUCUGGAAAGGCGCGCGAUACAGGGUGACAGCCCCGUACACAAAAAUGCACAUGCUGUGAGCUCGAUGAGUAGGGCGGGACACGUGGUAUCCUGUCUGAAUAUGGGGGGACCAUCCUCCAAGGCUAAAUACUCCUGACUGACCGAUAGUGAACCAGUACCGUGAGGGAAAGGCGAAAAGAACCCCGGCGAGGGGAGUGAAAAAGAACCUGAAACCGUGUACGUACAAGCAGUGGGAGCACAGAGCAAUCUGUGUGACUGCGUACCUUUUGUAUAAUGGGUCAGCGACUUAUAUUCUGUAGCAAGGUUAACCGAAUAGGGGAGCCGAAGGGAAACCGAGUCUUAACUGGGCGUUAAGUUGCAGGGUAUAGACCCGAAACCCGGUGAUCUAGCCAUGGGCAGGUUGAAGGUUGGGUAACACUAACUGGAGGACCGAACCGACUAAUGUUGAAAAAUUAGCGGAUGACUUGUGGCUGGGGGUGAAAGGCCAAUCAAACCGGGAGAUAGCUGGUUCUCCCCGAAAGCUAUUUAGGUAGCGCCUCGUGAAUUCAUCUCCGGGGGUAGAGCACUGUUUCGGCAAGGGGGUCAUCCCGACUUACCAACCCGAUGCAAACUGCGAAUACCGGAGAAUGUUAUCACGGGAGACACACGGCGGGUGCUAACGUCCGUCGUGAAGAGGGAAACAACCCAGACCGCCAGCUAAGGUCCCAAAGUCAUGGUUAAGUGGGAAACGAUGUGGGAAGGCCCAGACAGCCAGGAUGUUGGCUUAGAAGCAGCCAUCAUUUAAAGAAAGCGUAAUAGCUCACUGGUCGAGUCGGCCUGCGCGGAAGAUGUAACGGGGCUAAACCAUGCACCGAAGCUGCGGCAGCGACGCUUAUGCGUUGUUGGGUAGGGGAGCGUUCUGUAAGCCUGCGAAGGUGUGCUGUGAGGCAUGCUGGAGGUAUCAGAAGUGCGAAUGCUGACAUAAGUAACGAUAAAGCGGGUGAAAAGCCCGCUCGCCGGAAGACCAAGGGUUCCUGUCCAACGUUAAUCGGGGCAGGGUGAGUCGACCCCUAAGGCGAGGCCGAAAGGCGUAGUCGAUGGGAAACAGGUUAAUAUUCCUGUACUUGGUGUUACUGCGAAGGGGGGACGGAGAAGGCUAUGUUGGCCGGGCGACGGUUGUCCCGGUUUAAGCGUGUAGGCUGGUUUUCCAGGCAAAUCCGGAAAAUCAAGGCUGAGGCGUGAUGACGAGGCACUACGGUGCUGAAGCAACAAAUGCCCUGCUUCCAGGAAAAGCCUCUAAGCAUCAGGUAACAUCAAAUCGUACCCCAAACCGACACAGGUGGUCAGGUAGAGAAUACCAAGGCGCUUGAGAGAACUCGGGUGAAGGAACUAGGCAAAAUGGUGCCGUAACUUCGGGAGAAGGCACGCUGAUAUGUAGGUGAAGUCCCUCGCGGAUGGAGCUGAAAUCAGUCGAAGAUACCAGCUGGCUGCAACUGUUUAUUAAAAACACAGCACUGUGCAAACACGAAAGUGGACGUAUACGGUGUGACGCCUGCCCGGUGCCGGAAGGUUAAUUGAUGGGGUCAGCGCAAGCGAAGCUCUUGAUCGAAGCCCCGGUAAACGGCGGCCGUAACUAUAACGGUCCUAAGGUAGCGAAAUUCCUUGUCGGGUAAGUUCCGACCUGCACGAAUGGCGUAAUGAUGGCCAGGCUGUCUCCACCCGAGACUCAGUGAAAUUGAACUC
rnacentral:rRNA from 1 species